rnacentral:rRNA from 1 species
UACGUAGGCAGCAAGCGUUGUUCGGGGUUACUGGGCGUAAAGGGUGUGUAGGCGGUUCUUUAAGUUUGGUGUGAAAUCUCCCGGCUCAACUGGGAGGGUGCGCCGAAUACUGAGGGACUAGAGUACGGGAGAGGAAAGUGGAAUUCCUGGUGUAGCGGUGAAAUGCGUAGAUAUCAGGAGGAACACCGGUGGUGUAGACGGCUUUCUGGACCGUAACUGACGCUGAGACACGAAAGCGUGGGUAGCAAACAGG